UGGGGAAUAUUGCGCAAUGGGCGAAAGCCUGACGCAGCAACGCCGCGUGAAUGAUGAAGGUCUUAGGAUUGUAAAGUUCUUUCGCUCGUGACGAUGAUGACGGUAACGAGAGAAGAAGCCCCGGCUAACUUCGUGCCAGCAGCCGCGGUAAUACGAAGGGGGCUAGCGUUGUUCGGAAUUACUGGGCGUAAAGCGCGCGUAGGCGGUUUUGCAAGCCAGAGGUGAAAUGCCUGAGCUCAACUUAGGAAUUGCCUUUGGGACUGCGAGGCUUUGAGGACGAGAGAGGUGAGUGGAAUUCCCAGUGUAGAGGUGAAAUUCGUAGAUAUUGGGAAGAACACCGGUGGCGAAGGCGGCUCACUGGCUCGUUUCUGACGCUGAGACGCGAAAGCGUGGGGAGCAAACAGGAUUAGAUACCCCUGUAGUCCCUGAGCGGGCUGGCAAGGCGCAU
rnacentral:rRNA from 1 species